GCACAUGAAGGAGAUUUGAAGAAUUUCCAAACCUUCUGACAGUACGAUGUUGCAGCUGCUCUCAUCUCCAGGGACGCAAGUUGAAUUCUGACCUCCGGUUUGUCAGUGUGGAGCUUGUGACGACUGGGUCUUCUCCAGGCACUCGGGUUCCCUCCCGCGUCUCAGAAGAGUUGAUUUCUUCGGCAGUUUGAACGGGGCACGACUGCGCAAGCGCGUGAAGAUCAGCCUCUGAGAUCAGCGGGAGAGUUUAAAAAGCAAACAGAUUAACAGAGUGGGUGUCAGAGGACCGGGUGACAGAGCAGAGGGAGACAGAGUAGGAAGGCUUUGGCUCGAGAGGCUUCGGCGAGCAGAGGCUGAGGACGAGCUUGCACCAUUCAGGUAAGGUCAGAUUGAAAAAGAAAGAAAGAGAGCAUCCUGACUGGCUGUAUCACCGCCUGGUACGGGAACUGCACCAGCCUUGAUCGCUGGGCUCUGCAGAGAGUGGUACGGACAGCGCAGUGCACCUGUGGUUGUGAACUUCCCUCCACUGAGGACAUUUACAGAAGCAGGUGCAUAAAGAAGUCCUGGAAGAUCAUUGGGCACACCAGUCACCCCAAGUAUCAACUGUUUCAGCUGCUUCUGUCUGGCAAAAGGUACCACAGCGUUAAAGCCAGACCAACAGACUAUGGGACAGCUUCUUUCUGCAAGCCAUUAGACUUAGAAAUUCACAUGUCUGUACAUUAUGACAAAGUCAUAAUGCAAAAUCUUUACUCCCUCAAGUUGUGGAAUGGAAUUAAGAUUUAAAUCAAAUUCAAAUUAAAUUACCAAUGCAUGGGCCAUUUUCCAAAAAUACUGGCGGCUGAGGAAUAAGGAAUGACACAAAAUUGUCACUGUGCUAUGAGUAUUAUGGGCAACACUUUUGGAAUUGACUCCUGUGGAAAAUACAGAUAUAUCUUUCCAUUAGCUCAGUGUGGCUCUCUGAUGUUACACAGGGAAGUGGGUCAAACACAUGCAUAUGGAAUUAACUCAGACAGAGAUCUUGGUUGAAAUGGAAGAAUUGGGCGGAAGGGCAGAAGGACCUGUUGCUGUGAGACUCAACGAUACUGCCUAAUGGAAAUAAUGGGGAUUUUAUAAAGAACGUGUCUUAUUACACUGAAGAUAACCCAGUGACAGUGAUGUCAUGGUACUUGUGCAGGGCUCCACUGGUCCUGCUGCCUCACUGUGAAAUACUCUGACGCUCAUGCAUUGUGAAUGCUUUUGCCAUCACCAAGACAACCUGAUAGAAAUGAGAGUUUACAUCACACAGAAUCCCAAGUUUCCACCUGCUCAGUUGGCUGCUCACUUAAUUGUUAUCAGCAUUUUUACAAACUAUUCUGACCUUUCAAAAUAACAACUAAUGUGCUUUUUCCAUUUAAUUCUGUGUUUACUAGAGGAUGAAAUUGUUUCAGUGUUUUAUAACCCAGCACCUCAUUCACAAUCUUUUAUUAGAAAUGCAAAUAAUAUCAAAACUACAUUUAGAAUCAUAAAUGUACACUUACUAAAUCAAACAUAACAAUAUUCUAUUGACUUACAUUUAAAUCAGUAUUGGUUGAAUUAACUACUGGACCAAAGUGGGGAAGGGUUUGUUUCCUCUCUGAAAGUGAUUAGCCAUGACCUAAUUGAAUGGAUCCAAAGAAUCCCAUGUAAUAGUGCUGACCUUAGAUUAUUGAUAUGCAUUGAAGAUAUUUUGCAAACUGAUUUUCAUUGGCAAGUGCAAAGAUAUCACAACUGUACUGAUUUUAUCAUGUAUGUGAUAUAAAUGUAGAGAGAACAUAUUGAUAUUUUUCUUUUCUAUUCAGAGGACAUAUGGUAAAAUAUUGAUCCCAGUUGAAGUCUUUCUCAGAAUUGGCCUCAUUUGUGGGACAACACAUUGGUAGUUAAUUUUGUUUUUGAUUUUAUAGAGGCAUACGGACAUAUGUGUUACAGUACUGAAACCUUCAAGCUACAAACCCUGCAUUUUGCCUUCACGCAUUUCACAACAACAGUAAUUUCACAAAGAAUGGGUACUGUACAAAGAAAUUUGGCUUGGCAUAAAUGUGAAGAAACAAAACUUCAUGCAAAGAAAGCUUCAUACUUGAAAAGAUAUAUCUCCGUUUUAAAUUGCUGAUGAACAAAGAGGAGGCUGUGGUUUUCACAAACGUGGUAUUGACUGGCACACAGAGAAGUGUCUAUGAGAAGCCUCUGAUAGUUGGAGAUACUUUGAUACUAAGGUCACUAAGAUUCUGAAUCAUAUAAAGGAACUAAAGGAACUCAGAUUCACAUCAGAUGAGGUCCAAUUGCUGUAAAUGACAGAGGGUUCAAUAGCACGAUCAGCCAAUAGUUAGGAUCAAGUUUCUCCAGAAGUCCUGUGGUUAUGCUGAUAUGUAUGUUUUGUAGCCUGGGGAAAAGUACACACUCAGGGCAACGAACACUUUCUUGGGUUUUAAUUCCUUUAUCUGUAUUAGAUAUUUAAGUGCCAGAAGAGGGUCUUAAAACAGAACGAACGACCUUACAAUCAGUUCCUGCUGUUACAAUCUCCAUUUAACCUUCGAUCCACAAACUUGUGUGUCGACAGAUUGUGUAUGCAGUAUAAAAAUACAUAGAGCAAACUGCACAAAACUGAUACAGUACUAAUACGGUAGUAGCAACUCUGAAGGAACACAAUGCAAACAACAUUAGAAUCCCCCCAACCCUGUAUCUUAUACAUAGCAGCGAAUACAUCUCAUCUAAGACUUCUACUACUUUUUAGUACACACAUGCUUAACUUCCUAAAAGAGACUAAACAUUCACGUUACGCUGUUACGUACACAAACAGUCAUGAUACUAUAAAGUUAGACAAAAGGUACACUGCAGCAUAACUUUUACAGGAUAUUGCCUGGCAGUUAAAUUACAGGAAGACUGACCUACUUGGCUGGUGAGGAACUUUGCACAAGCCACGCGAUCUAGCAUUGAUGCUUUCACUCGUGAAAAUCUAAAGCAUCCACAUGUAGAACAUGUCAAAUUACUGAUAUUCUCGAUUCGCCAACAAGCAUAACUGAAUUCACAUGGAUAUUGUAAAUUAAUGCUCACCUUUCCUCAACAAGCCCAGAACCUCUGGGGAAACUCGAUUCCAACGCCCCACCAGCUUCUUGCAGCAGAGAACAAAAUGGUCUCCCUACUAUCCCGCACGUGUGUAAUGACAUCCCCGUCUCCCCUUAACGGCACAGACAACUAUUCUAGCAUUACCCAGAUGGAUACCUAGGUACACUUUUAACGAUAAUGAAUAAGAUUCAACAGUCACCCGGUUACACAUGUAACAACUAUGAUACUUAAUUUUCGACAAGCCUUCUCCUAAUUUUCAGUUUCAUUCACUUCUCCAACCACUAGCUUCACGUGAAAGUAUCCAAACUUUCACUCACAUGUUUAAAUCUUGUUAUUAAUCAGAAACAAGGCAACAACUUAUCUUACAUAUUGCCAGGGCUUCUUGUCAUUCAGUAAAAAAAUUAUUCUUUCUUAUAAAAGGAGAAAUUAUGGGGAAAUCCUAGUUUUAGUUACCAAUAACAAUCUACAUUCACUGAAAAAGAAAUCAAAUGUGAUAGUUGAAAAUAAUUAAUAAACAAUGCUUGUUUGCUGUGCAAUCAGUGAUUGUGUGCUAAUUGGGAUAAGAUUUGCUGUAAAAUGUCACAGAAAGCUCUAUAAGAGAGUAAAACACAAGCUCAUGUACUUCGUAGUUGGAUGACACAGUAAUCCUCUGUUACCAAACUAAUGACAAAA